CCUGAUUCUUUUUGGAGGUUAAAUACCACAUAACAAGCUACACAUAUCAACCUUUAGAACACAAAACACAUUAAAGAUGACCGAGAUAUAAGGCCUGACAUUUGCCAAAAAAAAAUUUUCUGGACACUUAGAAUAUUUUCUGGGUUUGAAAAACAGCCGGUCAAUGCCGGUCAACCCACUUUGACCGCUUAUAAAUCCCGAUCUACAAUAGAUAUAGACCUG
rnacentral:lncRNA from 1 species